rnacentral:rRNA from 1 species
UACGGAGGGUGCGAGCGUUGUCCGGAAUCACUGGGCGUAAAGGGCGCGUAGGCGGCGCGGAUAGUCGGCGGUGAAAGCCCGGAGCUCAACUCCGGGUCGGCCGUCGAUACUUCCGGGCUUGAGCACUGUAGAGGCAGAUGGAAUUCCUGGUGUAGCGGUGAAAUGCGUAGAUAUCAGGAGGAACACCUGUGGCGAAAGCGGCUCACUGGACCAUAACUGACGCUGAUGCACGAAAGCUAGGGGAGCAAACAGG